GGUUUCUUAACUACUGCACUACUGACAUCUUGGACCAGGUGCUAAGAAGAAAAUAAACAGAGAACGUCUUGCAGUGGGCAGCCAUUUCAGGAGGUAAAUGCCGGGGGGUGGUGUUUGAACAGUGACGGAAGGACAUGAAGAAGCGAGCGUGUGAAGGUGUGGAAGAAGUACAAUCCAUGCAGAAGAACCAGCAAGCCUUCUUUCCAUCUGGCAGUAUUAUGCAAGAUUCGGAACGAAUCUCC
rnacentral:lncRNA from 10 species